rnacentral:rRNA from 1 species
UGGGGAAUAUUGCACAAUGGGCGCAAGCCUGAUGCAGCCAUGCCGCGUGUGUGAAGAAGGCCUUCGGGUUGUAAAGCACUUUCAGCGGGGAGGAAGGCGUUAAGGUUAAUAACCUUGGCGAUUGACGUUACCCGCAGAAGAAGCACCGGCUAACUCCGUGCCAGCAGCCGCGGUAAUACGGAGGGUGCAAGCGUUAAUCGGAAUUACUGGGCGUAAAGCGCACGCAGGCGGUCUGUCAAGUCGGAUGUGAAAUCCCCGGGCUCAACCUGGGAACUGCAUUCGAAACUGGCAGGCUAGAGUCUUGUAGAGGGGGAUAGAAUUCCAGGUGUAGCGGUGAAAUGCGUAGAGAUCUGGAGGAAUACCGGUGGCGAAGGCGGCCCCCUGGACGAAGACUGACGCUCAGGUGCGAAAGCGUGGGGAGCAAACAGG